UACGUAGGGUGCGAGCGUUGUCCGGAAUUAUUGGGCGUAAAGAGCUCGUAGGCGGUCUGUCGCGUCGGUCGUGAAAACCUGCAGCUUAACUGUGGGCGUGCGGUCGAUACGGGCAUGACUGGAGUUCGGCAGGGGAGACUGGAAUUCCUGGUGUAGCGGUGAAAUGCGCAGAUAUCAGGAGGAACACCAGUGGCGAAGGCGGCACUCUGGGCCGGUACUGACGCUGAGGAGCGAAAGCGUGGGGAGCGAACAGG
rnacentral:rRNA from 1 species